rnacentral:rRNA from 1 species
AGAGUUUGAUCAUGGCUCAGGAUGAACGCUAGCGGCAGGCCUAAUACAUGCAAGUCGAGCGGAAAGGCUCAGUUCGGUAAGUACACGACCGGCGCACGGGUGCGUAACGCGUAUGCAACCUACCUCUAACAGGGGGAUAGCCGAAAGAAAUUCCCGUUAAUAUCCCAUACAGGUCGUUACUGGCUUUGGCGUCGGUUUGGAGUUCGGGCGUUGUGGGAUGGGCCGAUGUGGCAUUAGCUAGUUGGUGAGGUAACGGCUCACCAAGGCCACGAUGCCUAGGGGUUCUGAGAGGAUGAUCCCCCACACUGGUACUGAGACACGGACCAGACUCCUACGGGAGGCAGCAGUUAGGAAUAUUGCGCAAUGGAGGAAACUCUGACGCAGCCAAGCCGCGUGCAGGAAGACGGCCUUAUGGGUUGUAAAUUGCUUUUAUAAAGGAAUAAACGGAAACUCGCGAAACGGGUUGAUGGCUGACGGUACCGUAUGAAUAAGGACCGGCUAACUGCGUGCCAGCAGCCGCGGUAAUACGUAGGGACCGAGCGUUAACCGGAUUUAUUGGGCGUAAAGCGUGCGCAGGCGGAUUGGUAAGUUAGUGGUGAAAUCCCGAGGCUCAACUUCGGAACUGCCAUUAAUACUGCCAAUCUUGAAUUCGGUUGAAGUGGGCAGAAUUUCACAUGUGGCGGUGUAAA